rnacentral:rRNA from 1 species
GAGUUUGAUCAUGGCUCAGGACUAACGCUGGCGGCGUGCCUAACACAUGCAAGUCGAACGGACUGUGGUUUCGGCUGCAGUCAGUGGCGAACGGGUGAGUAACGCGUGGAUAACCUGCCCCUCUGCUGGGGGAUAACCGCCCGAAAGGGUGGCUAAUACCGAAUAGUUUCGCCUGUAAUAAGUGGGUGAAUAAAGGGUCUUCGGAUCCGCGGAGGGAGGGGUCUGCGUCCUAUUAGCUAGUUGGUGAGGUAAUGGCUCACCAAGGCGACGAUGGGUAGCCGGCCUGAGAGGGUGAACGGCCACACUGGGACUGAGACACGGCCCAGACUCCUACGGGAGGCAGCAGUGAGGAAUAUUGCGCAAUGGGCGAAAGCCUGACGCAGCGACGCCGCGUGAGCGAUGAAGGCC